rnacentral:rRNA from 1 species
AUUGAACGCUGGCGGCAGGCCUAACACAUGCAAGUCGAGCGGAUGAAGGGAGCUUGCUCCUGGAUUCAGCGGCGGACGGGUGAGUAAUGCCUAGGGAUCUGCCUGGUAGUGGGGGAUAACGUCCGGAAACGGGCGCUAAUACCGCAUACGUCCUGAGGGAGAAAGUGGGGGAUCUUCGGACCUCACGCUAUCAGAUGAGCCUAGGUCGGAUUAGCUAGUUGGUGGGGUAAAGGCCUACCAAGGCGACGAUCCGUAACUGGUCUGAGAGGAUGAUCAGUCACACUGGAACUGAGACACGGUCCAGACUCCUACGGGAGGCAGCAGUGGGGAAUAUUGGACAAUGGGCGAAAGCCUGAUCCAGCCAUGCCGCGUGUGAAGAAGGUCUUCGGAUUGUAAAGCACUUUAAGUUGGGAGGAAGGGCAGUAAGUUAAUACCUUGCUGUUUUGACGUUACCAACAGAAUAAGCACCGGCUAACUUCGUG